UUUCCUACGGGACGCAGCAGUGGGGGAUAUUGCACAAUGGGGGGAACCCUGAUGCAGCGACGCCGCGUGGGCGAUGGAGUGCUUCGGCAUGUCAAGCCCUAUUAGCAGGGAAGAAAAUGACGGUACCUGACUAAGAAGCCCCGGCUAACUACGUGCCAGCAGCCGCGGUACUACGUAUGGGGCAAGCGUUAUCCGGAUUUACUGAGUGUAAAGGGAGCGCAGGCGGCCUGGCAAGCCUGAUGUGAAAUACCGGGGCCCAACCCCGGGGCUGCAUUGGGAACUGCCAGGCUGGCGUGCUGGAGAGG
rnacentral:rRNA from 1 species